AUCCAGCUGACGAGUCCCAAAUAGAGCAAAACCUGCGUCCUAGAU
rnacentral:hammerhead_ribozyme from 1 species